UUAAAAAUAAUUAUGAAAUUUAAGGUUUUAGUAAUUUUUAAUGAAAUAAUAAUAUUAAUUAUAAUGAAUUAGUAUUGAAAAAGAAUAUUGAAAUAAUUGAAAAAUUUUUAUAAAAUAAGAAAUUUUAAAUUAUUGUACCUUGUGUAUCAGGGUUAAUUAAUUAAAAAGUAAAAAUUUAUUUUUCUCGAUUUUAAAGGAGUUAAUAAAUUAAUGAAGUUAAUGUAUUAAAAUUAUUUUCAAAUAAUUUGUUAGAAAUGAAAUGUUAUUCGUUUUUGAAGGUAUCUAGUUUUUUUAGAAAUAAAUUUAAUUUAAAAAUUUUGAAUUUAUUUAUUUAAUUUUUAAAUAUAAUAAAGAAAAAUUUAAAUAUUUUAUGGGAUAAGCUAUAAAAUAAAAUAUUAUAAGUAAAAAUAUUUGAAAUAAAAAUAUAUGCUUAGAAUUAGCAAUUAUUUAAAAUUUUGUUAUUAAUUAUUUUUUUAUUUAAAUUAUUUAUUUUAUUUUAAUUUUUUAUAAAAAUGUUUUUAAUAAUUUUUAAUAAAAAUUAAUAAUGAUUAAAUUAGUAUAAUAAAUUGUAAAAUUAAUUAAAUUUGAUAAGUUUAUUUAAAGAAUUCGGCAAAAUAAAUAUUCGCCUGUUUAACAAAAACAUGUCUUUUUGAAUUAAAUAAAAAGUCUAACCUGCCCACUGAAAAUUUUAAAUGGCCGCAGUAUAUUAACUGUGCAAAGGUAGCAUAAUCAUUAGUCUUUUAAUUGAAGGCUGGAAUGAAUGGUUGGACGAAAUAUUAACUGUUUCAAAUAAAUUUUUUAUAGAAUUUUAUUUUUUAGUAAAAAAGCUAAAAUUUAAUUAAAAGACGAGAAGACCCUAUAAAUCUUUACAAAAAAAUAUAUUAUAAUAAUAAAGAAAAAUUUUAUUACAAUAAAAUAAAAAAUUUUAUUGGGGUGAUAUUAAAAUUUAAUAAACUUUUAAUUAUAAAAAAACAUAAAUUAAUGAAUAAUUGAUCCAGUAAUAAUGAUUAAAAAAUUAAGUUACUUUAGGGAUAACAGCGUAAUUUUUUUAGAGAGUUCAUAUCGAUAAAAAAGAUUUGCGACCUCGAUGUUGGGAUUAAGAGAUAAUUUUAGGUGUAGAAGUUUAAAAAAUUAAGUCUGUUCGACUUUUAAAUUCUUACAUGAUCUGAGUUCAGACCGGCGUAAGCCAGGUUGGUUUCUAUCUUUAAUUUUUGAAAAUAUUUUAGUACGAAAGGACCAAAUAUUUAAAUUAUUAAAAUUUUAACAAAGAAUAUUUUUAAUAAA
rnacentral:rRNA from 1 species